rnacentral:rRNA from 1 species
AUUGAACACUGGCGGCAGGCCUAACACAUGCAAGUCGAGCGGAUGAAGGGAGCUUGCUCCUGGAUUCAGCGGCGGACGGGUGAGUAAUGCCUAGGAAUCUGCCUGGUAGUGGGGGAUAACGUCCGGAAACGGGCGCUAAUACCGCAUACGUCCUGAGGGAGAAAGUGGGGGAUCUUCGGACCUCACGCUAUCAGAUGAGCCUAGGUCGGAUUAGCUAGUUGGUGGGGUAAAGGCCUACCAAGGCGACGAUCCGUAACUGGUCUGAGAGGAUGAUCAGUCACACUGGAACUGAGACACGGUCCAGACUCCUACGGGAGGCAGCAGUGGGGAAUAUUGGACAAUGGGCGAAAGCCUGAUCCAGCCGUGCCGCGUGUGUGAAGAAGGUCUUCGGAUUGUAAAGCACUUUAAGUUGGGAGGAAGGGCAGUAAGUUAAUACCUUGCUGUUUUGACGUUACCAACAGAAUAAGCACCGGCUAACUUCGUG